rnacentral:rRNA from 1 species
CCCAGACUCCUACGGGAGGCAGGAGUGGGGAAUAUUGCACAAUGGGCGAAAGCCUGAUGCAGCGACGCCGCGUGAGGGAUGACGGCCUUCGGGUUGUAAACCUCUUUCAGCAGGGAAGAAGCGAAAGUGACGGUACCUGCAGAAGAAGCGCCGGCUAACUACGUGCCAGCAGCCGCGGUAAUACGUAGGGCGCAAGCGUUGUCCGGAAUUAUUGGGCGUAAAGAGCUCGUAGGCGGCUUGUCACGUCGGAUGUGAAAGCCCGGGGGCUUAACCCGCGGGUCUGCAGUUAGAUACGGGCUAGCUAGAGUGUGGUAGGGGAGAUCGGCAAUUCCUGGUGUAGCGGUGAAAUGCGCAGAUAUCAGGAGGAACACCGGUGGCGAAGGCGGAUCUCUGGGCCAUUACUGCCGCUGAGGAGCGAAAGCGUGGGGGAGCGAACAGGAUUAGAUACCCUGGUAGUCCACCCCGUAAAACGUUGGGAACUAGGUGUUGGCGACAUUCCACGUCGUCGGUGCCGCAGCUAACGCAUGAAGUUCCCCGCCUGGGGAGUACGGCCGCAAGGCUAAAACUCAAAGGAAUUGACGGGGGGCCCGCACAAGCAGCGGAGCAUGUGGCUUAAUUCGACGCAACGCGAAGAACCUUACCAAGGCUUGACAUAUACCGGAAAGCAUCAGAGAUGGUGCCCCCCUUGUGGUCGGUAUACAGGUGGUGCAUGGCUGUCGUCAGCUCGUGUCGUGAGAUGUUGGGUUAAGUCCCGCAACGAGCGCAACCCUUGUUCUGUGUUGCCAGCAUGCCCUUCGGGGUGAUGGGGACUCACAGGAGACUGCCGGGGUCAACUCGGAGGAAGGUGGGGACGACGUCAAGUCAUCAUGCCCCUUAUGUCUUGGGCUGCACACGUGCUACAAUGGCCGGUACAAUGAGCUGCGAUGCCGCGAGGCGGAGCGAAUCUCAAAAAGCCGGUCUCAGUUCGGAUUGGGGUCUGCAACUCGACCCCAUGAAGUCGGAGUUGCUAGUAAUCGCAGAUCAGCAUUGCUGCGGUGAAUACGUUCCCGGGCCUUGUACACACCGCCCGUC